ACCAGGAGAUUUUAUUUAUCUAGACACUGAUUGGGUCAGAGGGACAAGUAGUACAGUUAAGGGCAGUGGCAUACUAACGGAAUGGUGGGAAGGGGGUUGCCACAAGAGCCGGUAUAACCAUUCAAGGGAAUCCCCACGUUAGAGAGCUGAUCUAUGUUCAGGGAAUUUUCUCAAAUACUCUUGGUAUGACCCUGGUUAAGGGGAACAGGUUUUUGAACCUGAUAAACCAUAAUGUCAUGGCUCAAUUAGUAGAUGUGCCAACUAGAAUAGAUGAUUGUCUGGAUCUUGUCAUAACUAAUAAUAUGGACUUAAAGGGAUUCUCCAGUGCCAGGAAAACAUAUUCGUUUUCCUGGCAUUGCAGGACCCUGUAGUUCCCCUCUC